UGCCAGCAGCCGCGGUAAAACCAGCACCUCAAGUGGUCAGGAUGAUUAUUGAGCCUAAAGCAUCCGUAGCCGGCGCUAUAAGUUUUCGGUUAAAUCUGUACGCUCAACGUACAGGCUGCCGGGAAUACUGCAGAGCUAGGGAGUGGGAGAGGUAGACGGUACUCGGUAGGAAGUGGUAAAAUGCUUUGAUCUAUCGAUGACCACCUGCGGCGAAGGCGGUCUACCAGAACGCGUCCGACGGUGAGGGAUGAAAGCUGGGGGAGCAAACCGGAUUAGAUA
rnacentral:rRNA from 1 species